rnacentral:rRNA from 1 species
UACGAAGGGGGCUAGCGUUGUUCGGAAUCACUGGGCGUAAAGGGCGCGUAGGCGGCUUUGUAAGUCGGGGGUGAAAGCCUGUGGCUCAACCACAGAAUUGCCUUCGAUACUGCAUGGCUUGAGACCGGAAGAGGUAAGUGGAACUGCGAGUGUAGAGGUGAAAUUCGUAGAUAUUCGCAAGAACACCAGUGGCGAAGGCGGCUUACUGGUCCGGUUCGUGACGCUGAGGCGCGAAAGCGUGGGGAGCAAACAGG